rnacentral:rRNA from 1 species
UUAAGCGACUAAGCGUACACGGUGGAUGCCCUGGCAGUCAGAGGCGAUGAAGGACGUGCUAAUCUGCGAUAAGCGUCGGUAAGGUGAUAUGAACCGUUAUAACCGGCGAUUUCCGAAUGGGGAAACCCAGUGUGAUUCGUCACACUAUCAUUAACUGAAUCCAUAGGUUAAUGAGGCGAACCGGGGGAACUGAAACAUCUAAGUACCCCGAGGAAAAGAAAUCAACCGAGAUUCCCCCAGUAGCGGCGAGCGAACGGGGAGAAGCCCAGAGCCUGAAUCAGUGUGUGUGUUAGUGGAAGCGUCUGGAAAGGCGCGCGAUACAGGGUGACAGCCCCGUACACAAAAAUACACAUACUGUGAGCUCGAUGAGUAGGGCGGGACACGUGAUAUCCUGUCUGAAUAUGGGGGGACCAUCCUCCAAGGCUAAAUACUCCUGACUGACCGAUAGUGAACCAGUACCGUGAGGGAAAGGCGAAAAGAACCCCGGCGAGGGGAGUGAAAAAGAACCUGAAACCGUGUACGUACAAGCAGUGGGAGCACGCUUAGGCGUGUGACUGCGUACCUUUUGUAUAAUGGGUCAGCGACUUAUAUUCUGUAGCAAGGUUAACCGAAUAGGGGAGCCGAAGGGAAACCGAGUCUUAACUGGGCGUUAAGUUGCAGGGUAUAGACCCGAAACCCGGUGAUCUAGCCAUGGGCAGGUUGAAGGUUGGGUAACACUAACUGGAGGACCGAACCGACUAAUGUUGAAAAAUUAGCGGAUGACUUGUGGCUGGGGGUGAAAGGCCAAUCAAACCGGGAGAUAGCUGGUUCUCCCCGAAAGCUAUUUAGGUAGCGCCUCGUGAAUUCAUCUCCGGGGGUAGAGCACUGUUUCGGCAAGGGGGUCAUCCCGACUUACCAACCCGAUGCAAACUGCGAAUACCGGAGAAUGUUAUCACGGGAGACACACGGCGGGUGCUAACGUCCGUCGUGAAGAGGGAAACAACCCAGACCGCCAGCUAAGGUCCCAAAGUCAUGGUUAAGUGGGAAACGAUGUGGGAAGGCCCAGACAGCCAGGAUGUUGGCUUAGAAGCAGCCAUCAUUUAAAGAAAGCGUAAUAGCUCACUGGUCGAGUCGGCCUGCGCGGAAGAUGUAACGGGGCUAAACCAUGCACCGAAGCUGCGGCAGCGACGCUUAUGCGUUGUUGGGUAGGGGAGCGUUCUGUAAGCCUGCGAAGGUGUGCUGUGAGGCAUGCUGGAGGUAUCAGAAGUGCGAAUGCUGACAUAAGUAACGAUAAAGCGGGUGAAAAGCCCGCUCGCCGGAAGACCAAGGGUUCCUGUCCAACGUUAAUCGGGGCAGGGUGAGUCGACCCCUAAGGCGAGGCCGAAAGGCGUAGUCGAUGGGAAACAGGUUAAUAUUCCUGUACUUGGUGUUACUGCGAAGGGGGGACGGAGAAGGCUAUGUUGGCCGGGCGACGGUUGUCCCGGUUUAAGCGUGUAGGCUGGUUUUCCAGGCAAAUCCGGAAAAUCAAGGCUGAGGCGUGAUGACGAGGCACUACGGUGCUGAAGCAACAAAUGCCAUGCUUCCAGGAAAAGCCUCUAAGCAUCAGGUAACAUCAAAUCGUACCCCAAACCGACACAGGUGGUCAGGUAGAGAAUACCAAGGCGCUUGAGAGAACUCGGGUGAAGGAACUAGGCAAAAUGGUGCCGUAACUUCGGGAGAAGGCACGCUGAUAUGUAGGUGAAGCGACUUGCUCGUGGAGCUGAAAUCAGUCGAAGAUACCAGCUGGCUGCAACUGUUUAUUAAAAACACAGCACUGUGCAAACACGAAAGUGGACGUAUACGGUGUGACGCCUGCCCGGUGCCGGAAGGUUAAUUGAUGGGGUCAGCGCAAGCGAAGCUCUUGAUCGAAGCCCCGGUAAACGGCGGCCGUAACUAUAACGGUCCUAAGGUAGCGAAAUUCCUUGUCGGGUAAGUUCCGACCUGCACGAAUGGCGUAAUGAUGGCCAGGCUGUCUCCACCCGAGACUCAGUGAAAUUGAACUCGCUGUGAAGAUGCAGUGUACCCGCGGCAAGACGGAAAGACCCCGUGAACCUUUACUAUAGCUUGACACUGAACAUUGAGCCUUGAUGUGUAGGAUAGGUGGGAGGCUUUGAAGUGUGGACGCCAGUCUGCAUGGAGCCGACCUUGAAAUACCACCCUUUAAUGUUUGAUGUUCUAACGUUGACCCGUAAUCCGGGUUGCGGACAGUGUCUGGUGGGUAGUUUGACUGGGGCGGUCUCCUCCUAAAGAGUAACGGAGGAGCACGAAGGUUGGCUAAUCCUGGUCGGACAUCAGGAGGUUAGUGCAAUGGCAUAAGCCAGCUUGACUGCGAGCGUGACGGCGCGAGCAGGUGCGAAAGCAGGUCAUAGUGAUCCGGUGGUUCUGAAUGGAAGGGCCAUCGCUCAACGGAUAAAAGGUACUCCGGGGAUAACAGGCUGAUACCGCCCAAGAGUUCAUAUCGACGGCGGUGUUUGGCACCUCGAUGUCGGCUCAUCACAUCCUGGGGCUGAAGUAGGUCCCAAGGGUAUGGCUGUUCGCCAUUUAAAGUGGUACGCGAGCUGGGUUUAGAACGUCGUGAGACAGUUCGGUCCCUAUCUGCCGUGGGCGCUGGAGAACUGAGGGGGGCUGCUCCUAGUACGAGAGGACCGGAGUGGACGCAUCACUGGUGUUCGGGUUGUCAUGCCAAUGGCACUGCCCGGUAGCUAAAUGCGGAAGAGAUAAGUGCUGAAAGCAUCUAAGCACGAAACUUGCCCCGAGAUGAGUUCUCCCUGACUCCUUGAGAGUCCUGAAGGAACGUUGAAGACGACGACGUUGAUAGGCCGGGUGUGUAAGCGCAGCGAUGCGUUGAGCUAACCGGUACUAAUGAACCGUGAGGCUUAACCUU